GAUGAACGCUGGCGGCGUGCCUAAUACAUGCAAGUCGAGCGAAUAGACUAGGAGCUUGCUCCUCUGACGUUAGCGGCGGACGGGUGAGUAACACGUGGAUAACCUACCUUUAAGACUGGGAUAACUGCGGGAAACCGGUGCUAAUACCGGAUAAUAUAUUGAACCGCAAUUUUCAAUAUUGAAAGACGGUUUUGCUGUCACUUAUAGAUGGAUCCGCUCCGCAUUAGCUAGUUGGUAAGGUAACGGCUUACCAAGGCAACGAUGCGUAGCCGACCUGAGAGGGUGAUCGGCCACACUGGAACUGAGACACGGUCCAGACUCCAACGGGAGGCGGCAGUAGGGAAUCUUCGGCAAUGGGCGAAAGCCUGACGGAGCAACGCGGCGUGGGUGAUGAAGGUCUUCGGAUCGUAAAACUCUGUUAUUAGGGAAGAACAAAUGUGUAAGUAACUAUGCACGUCUUGACGGUACCUAAUCAGAAAGCCACGGCUAACUACGUG
rnacentral:rRNA from 1 species